CUCCGCAGCCUACACACUCUCACCGCUUCUGGGAUGACGGACCACUGUUAAGACCCUCAGGAUGUUCAGCUGGGUGGUGAAGGGGGUUCCCCAGCCUCCUGGGAAACUAGGCGAUGAGGAGAAGACCAAUGCCCCACCUGCACCAGUAAAACAAGUAACAUUCAAAGAAGAGAAGAAACAAGAAGCUCUAAAACCUGCCAAGGCCAAAGAGGAGGAGGUCGCCGAGGAGAAUGGGUGAG